UUGAGAGUGGCGAACGGGUGAGUAAUAUAUCGGAACGUGCCCAGUCGUGGGGGAUAACGUAGUGAAAAUUACGCUAAUACCGCAUACGAUCUAAGGAUGAAAGCGGGGGAUCGCAAGACCUCGCGCGACUGGAGCGGCCGAUAUCAGAUUAGGUAGUUGGUAGGGUAAAGGCCUACCAAGCCAACGAUCUGUAGCUGGUCUGAGAGGACGACCAGCCACACUGGAACUGAGACACGGUCCAGACUCCUACGGGAGGCAGCAGUGGGGAAUUUUGGACAAUGGGCGAAAGCCUGAUCCAGCCAUUCCGCGUGCAGGAUGAAGGCCCUCGGGUUGUAAACUGCUUUUGUACAGAACGAAAAGGUUUCUAUUAAUACUAGGAGCUCAUGACGGUACUGUAAGAAUAAGCACCGGCUAACUACGUGCCAGCAGCCGCGGUAAUACGUAGGGUGCAAGCGUUAAUCGGAAUUACUGGGCGUAAAGCGUGCGCAGGCGGUUAUAUAAGUCAGAUGU
rnacentral:rRNA from 1 species